GGGGAUGACAUGGCUUCGACGGGGGUUACAACGUAAUUAGAGUGCAUACCGUGAUCUCAGUUUCACGCAAAACGCUGAACUAAAUAUAAUCGCAAACGACGAUUCAUUCGCAGUAGCAGCUUAAGUCUGCUCUCGUUACCCUAACUUGUUUGUUGGUUAGAUCGUAACGCCAUUUAAACAAACUUUGAUUUAGGUCGACCACUGAUCUAGAUUAAGCCUUUAGUGGUUAGUCACGAGUUUUGCCUGGUAGGCCGGCGGAAUUCGGGCGAAUAAAGAUAGACCUUCCUAAGUAUGUAGGACUCGUUAUAGCGGGCUUUCGGACGGGGGUUCAAUUCCCCCCAUCUCCACCA
rnacentral:tmRNA from 1 species